GACGAACGCUGGCGGCGUGCCUAAUACAUGCAAGUCGAGCGAAUGGAAGGGAGCUUGCUCCCUGAAGUUAGCGGCGGACGGGUGAGUAACACGUGGGCAACCUGCCUGUAAGACUGGGAUAACUUCGGGAAACCGGAGCUAAUACCGGAUACGUUCUUUCCUCGCAUGAGGAAAGAUGGAAAGAUGGUUUCGGCUAUCACUUACAGAUGGGCCCGCGGCGCAUUAGCUAGUUGGUGGGGUAAUGGCCCACCAAGGCGACGAUGCGUAGCCGACCUGAGAGGGUGAUCGGCCACACUGGGACUGAGACACGGCCCAGACUCCUACGGGAGGCAGCAGUAGGGAAUCUUCCGCAAUGGACGAAAGUCUGACGGAGCAACGCCGCGUGAGCGAAGAAGGCCUUCGGGUCGUAAAGCUCUGUUGUCAGGGAAGAACAAGUGCCAGAGUAACUGCUGGCACCUUGACGGUACCUGACCAGAAAGCCACGGCUAACUACGUGCCAGCCGCCGCGGUAAAAC
rnacentral:rRNA from 1 species